GAUUAACGCUGGCGGCGUGCAUAACACAUGCAAGUCGAACGAUGAAACUUAGUCGACUUCUUCGGAAAGACACUAAGCGGAUUAGUGGCGAACGGGUGAGUAACGCGUGAGUACCCUGCCUUACACAAGGGGAUAGCCUUUGGAAACGAAGAAUAAUACCCUAUAAAACCAUAAAAGCACAUGCUAGAAUGGUCAAAGUGAUAGCGGUGUAAGAUGGACUUGCGUCUGAUUAGCUAGUUGGUGAGAUAAAAGCUCACCAAGGCAACGAUCAGUAGCCGGCUUGAGAGAGUGUACGGCCACAUUGGGACUGAGACACGGCCCAGACUCCUACGGGAGGCAGCAGUGGGGAAUUGUGCACAAUGGGGGAAACCCUGAUGCAGCGACGCCGCGUGAUGUAGAAGGCCUUCGGGUUGUAAAAAUCUUUUGUAUAGGAAGAAAAGGACAGUACUAUACGAAUAAGGUCCGGCUAAUUACGU
rnacentral:rRNA from 1 species